GUGUUGGUCUAGAGGUGUUGAGCCGCUAUUUAACCAGCUAAGAAGUUUAAUAGCUUGACAAAAGUGAGACCACGGACAGAGCCGGUUAGACAAGGAAAGCUGAGGAGUUAUGGAGGAGGAGCCGACCAUGGCCUCCGGCCGGCCUCCUCACCCUGGUUACGCACUUGCCCGGUUAUGAUCGUAGUGGUGUCGCACGAAGACGUGGAUUUCCUCCCACCGGCUGCUCCGUUGUGAAAGGGGGAGUCGCCAGCUACAGACGACGGCGCCAUUGCUGUUCUCCGACGACACACCUCUUUUGGCACGUUCACCACUAUUUUCUACAGAUCGAGAAUCAACGACGACGACGGUUGUUUCCGGCCACUCCCGUUCGUAGUGUAUGCUGAAAACCCUAGCCCACACACGGAAGACAGAGACGGGGAAAUAUCUAGAGAGAGUGAUGGAGGAGGAGCCGAUCAUGGCCUCCGGCCGGCCUCCUCACCCCGGUUACGCACUUGGUCGGUGAUGAUCAUAGUGGUGCCGCACGAAGACGUGGAUUUCCUGCCACCGGCUGCUCCGUUGUGAAAGGGUGGAGCCGCCAGCAACGGACGACAGAGCCAUUGCUGUGCUUCGACGACACACCUCUUCCGGCACGUUCACCACUAUUGCUCUGUUCUUUAAGGUAAUGUUUCGUGGCUGGAACGUAUAAGAAUCAACUACAUGAUGGGUUAAAAGACAGCUGAAAAGUUGACAUGUCAAAUUCAAUACCAGAACAGAAUGCCAAAAUACAGAGCACGACUAGAUCAGUGCCAUAUUUUCAAAGGUGCCAAUUUCAACCAUUUACUUGAAAGUAGGUUGAUUUGGGUUAUGCUUUAACUUCAACGGAUCAAGUGGUUCAUAUUAAAUAACCUAGACCAAGUCAGUCGGGUUGAAAGUCGCCCAAGUGUGGACUGGUACGACAACAUUUUUUUCUCUGAAAUCAGGUCGUAGCCAACUAAUUUUCCUUGAUUCUCUUUGUAACAUGUAGCUCUUAAAUUUGAGAGUAGAAAUAGCAAAGGCUGCACUUAUGGUCCUCCAUAGUCUGUACGAAUGGCAGGUUUACAAGUACGUGUUUUUUUCCUGAUCUCACAUAACGAAGAUUUGGAUGUCACGUAACGAAAACGUAUUCAGGGAAGCACAUACAACAAAACAGUGGAUGAGGUGAAGGAAUGUACUUUCUUUUGGCUAACCCACAGGGCCAAAUUAAAUUACUUAUCUUUUGAAAAUUGGAACAGUUAUGGUGUCGAUGUAAUGCUAGAUUAGCAAGUAGUAUGUUUUCUAACCUUGCCUUCUAGCUCCUGGCUAGAGGCCUUUUGGUUUGAAUAUAAGGGGCUCCAUUUUGGUUUGAAUAUAAUGAGCUCCCUUUAUUUGUUAAAAAAAAAUACUUUGCAUGUCAUUGGCUGAUCAUUUAUUCCAAAUUGCAAAGAGAAUUUUGAAUUAAUUGCCAUGACUCAUGAAGAAGUUGAAGGGCGUUUUGUUGAAGCUAUUGCAAUAUGUUUCAAAAAUUACAAGAGAAAAGGUGAUCAUCGACGCAUCGUUGAUCUAUAAUGAUUAUACACGAAUGAUAAAUUUUUUUAUAUAUUCUAUCUCAUAUCAUGUUACCAUUAUAAUUGUAACUCUUUAGCAAAGAAUAUAAUGCAUGUGAGUUAGUUAUGUUUAUUUAAGGACAUAAUUUGAUUAAUUUAAAUUAAUGCCGUUAACGUUUUAUAAAUUAUUUUUUCUAUUGUUAUUCGGUUUGUUUUUGGUUUUUUUUUUAUUUUUUUUGUAGCUGAUGAUUAGAGAUGACAUCCAAAUGAAGAACUGGAGUCUGGAACAAUAAGCAUGUAUCUUUACAUCCCCGACAUUAUUGUAGCUGCAGCUGUAUACAUGGAUUAUAAAGUCAACUUACGGAUGGUGACUUCCUAUUAAUUUCUUAGUAGCUGAAAAUGGUUAACUGAUCAGCUAUCGACGCUCAGAUCAAAUGUUCCCAAAAUAAGCAAGGUGGAUGGAUAAAGAUCAAUACUGGGGCUACAAUACGGAUACCCCGAUCCAGAUUUGUUGUUCGAUGAAACGAGGACCGUUAUCAACAAGAUAACAAUGAGCACACUUGAAGCACUUGGUUUAGACAUUCAACAAUGGGUCAUCAGUUAUUUUAAUGGUUGUUUAUUUCAAAGUUCAUAUUCUAAGGUGGUUUCUAUUAAAAAUGUGCAUCUCUUUAUCUAUCUUGACUAUAUAUGCACAUGUAAUUAUAAUAAAUCCUAAAUUUGCAUGAUAUUUAGUCACAGGAUCAUUGAUCGACGAUGACUACAAUGAAUUGUGAUGACUUGAACCAAACAAUCAUCUGUUUGAUGCAUGGUUCUUCAGGCAGAUACGAACCAAGAGACAAAACACGCUCGCUACAAGGGCUAAACACGGGCCACAAGACACAUCUAUUGUUAAGAGCGCUAGACACGGCGCGCAGGCGAAAAAACCUAGUUGAGUUUAAAAAUAAAUCAUUAAAUAUUAAAUUUAAACAUAUAUACACAUAAACAAUACACUAUCUCAUUUUCC